ensembl:scaRNA SCARNA3 small Cajal body-specific RNA 3
AAUGGAAGCUGCAGGAACCAACCAUGUGGACAAAUGAAAAAAUCUUUUGUCUACAGAUUGCAGCAAUCCUACAUAAACAUAUGGAGGUCUCUGUCUGGCUUAGGACAGCUGGCUAAGUCUGAUCGUUCCCCUCCAUACAAC